CAAGUUAGACGCGUGCGCCUCUCAUCUCUCAUUAUUCCUCUCUCUCUCCCCUGCGCUUGUACUGUCCUCUCUCUCUUCCUCUUUCUCUCCUUCUCUACUGGAAUAUCCACAAUCUUUCAUCUUCCUUUACUCUUCCUUUUUCUCCGCGCCCCAUAUCUCUCGCCGUGAAGCCCACAAACCAAGUAGUGACGGUUGAAAGCCUCAAGCAUGGUGGAAGCGAAAUAGAGGUACAAUGACGGUCGACAACAGCCUCCGUUGUCGAUGAAUUUGGCCGUCGAAAAGCGUCCUCGCUCCGAUUAUGGAAUUGUUUGAUUUUUCGGGUUCAGCAACAUCAGGUACUUUUUGACCCAAUCAACCACAAAAAACUGGUCUGUUUCCUGUUGGCAUGCUUCCUUUGUUUCAGAUGGGAGUCGACUCAAUUGUUGCAGCCUCUUCCUUCUUCUUCAUCGGAAAAUCAAUGCAAUCUCUUCCUUCUUGUUCAUCCAUUCCAAGCCUUACGCAGGGGAAGAAAAUGACGCGGCAGGACAUAGCUUUUUAGUUGAUUUUCCAAGCGGUGCAAUACUCUUUUAAAUUUGCAAUACUCUUAGCAGUGCAAUAGAAACCGCACUCACGUCACAAUAAACUUUGGUAUUCCAAA